CCUUUGACGUUAGCGGCGGACGGGUGAGUAACACGUGGGUAACCUACCUAUAAGACUGGGAUAACUUCGGGAAACCGUAGCUAAUACCGGAUAAUAUUUCGAACCGCAUGGUUCGAUAGUGAAAGAUGGUUUUGCUAUCACUUAUAGAUGGACCUGCGCCGUAUUAGCUAGUUGGUAAGGUAACGGCUUACCAAGGCGACGAUACGUAGCCGACCUGAGAGGGUGAUCGGCCACACUGGAACUGAGACACGGUCCAGACUCCUACGGGAGGCAGCAGGG
rnacentral:rRNA from 1 species